AUACAUGCAAGUCGAGCGGACCGAACGAGGGCUUGCUCUUGUUUGGUCAGCGGCGGACGGGUGAGUAACACGUGGGCAACCUGCCCGCAAGACCGGGAUAACUCCGGGAAACCGGAGCUAAUACCGGAUAACACCGAAGACCGCAUGGUCUUCGGUUGAAAGGCGGCCUUUGGGCUGUCACUUGCGGAUGGGCCCGCGGCGCAUUAGCUAGUUGGUGAGGUAACGGCUCACCAAGGCGACGAUGCGUAGCCGGCCUGAGAGGGUGACCGGCCACACUGGGACUGAGACACGGCCCAGACUCCUACGGGAGGCAGCAGUAGGGAAUCUUCCGCAAUGGGCGAAAGCCUGACGGAGCGACGCCGCGUGAGCGAAGAAGGCCUUCGGGUCGUAAAGCUCUGUUGUGAGGGACGAAGGAGCGCCGUUCGAAGAGGGCGGCGCGGUGACGGUACCUCACGAGAAAGCCCCGGCUAACUACGUGCCAGCAGCCGCGGUAAUACGUAGGGGGCGAGCGUUGUCCGGAAUUAUUGGGCGUAAAGCGCGCGCAGGCGG
rnacentral:rRNA from 1 species